AUAUGUUUAACAAUUUUAUAAAAAAUUACAAAUGUCAAAAAAAAAUAUAAACAGUUUCGUCUUUCUUAACUGAUUUCUAUGUAUUAUUUUUAUUUAUUUUUUAUAUAAAAUCUUCCUAAUAUUUCUCACAACUACUCCCAUGAUCUCAUUAUAUCUGAAACUGUUACAGUGCCAUAAAUUCAACUUCAUCUCUUAUUGCACGUAAAUUCCUAAGUUUUUCUGCAAAGACUCCAAUGACUCUCUCCGAAAAUGUGAUGACAUUUCAGUUUCUAACUAAAUAGAUCAAAACUUUCUAAUGUUCGUAUCUACAUUUCUGAGAUCAACAUAGUCUCUUGCUAUGGGCGACGGAUAGACAAGCGCACAACAAAAUUGGCCGAUGAAGGUUAAAGUGAGAUAUUAGCAGAAGCUACAUAUUGCAAAAUGAAAAAGUGACGCGAUCAAAAUAUGGAACGAGAGUUAGAGAGACUCCUAUGGGAGCACAUGCACAAGACUUCUAACUUUAGAAGCACCACAAAAAAAAAACAGAGAAAAAUUUGUUGAUAACCAGAAGGUAACAAAUGUGAUAAAGAAACUCGGAUGGUAGGGGAAACGAUAAAGAUUCAUGUCUACUUUCAAGAGCAAGACCUAAUCUGAUGAGGUUAGUCUUCCUAUUUUUAUUUGCAUGUUUAUAUUUUUAUUUUCAUUGAAAAUGAUACAAACGAAUUGACCAAAGAAAACAACAGCAGAUAGACGAAGGAAAAAAAAAAACAAAAAGAUUGGUAUUUUAAUUUGCUCUGUGCAAGAGAUAUGCCUUCUCUCAAUUUGUUUGCAUGUAUAAUGAUUUAUUUUGUUUUGAAAAUACGAUCAAUAAUUUACAGUUUGGGUUUAUAAGGGAUUGUUGCAAGAUAUAACAUCAAACUUCUUUCCCGUGCAAUGCACGGGAGAUAAUACUAGUUCAAUAUAAUUCAAACCAAUAUCGAGAAAACGAUCUUCCGUAUAUCAUCAAGUGGUUGGCUUCAUAUCUGAUUAUCUGUCUUUCGUUCGUGUGUUUAGUCAUUUUUC